CUGACGUCAGCGCGCCGCGUGCGUCGGGAGGGAGGGGUGAGCGAGGGGGCGUGGCCCGCGGGAGGACGUUCGUGGUUCGCGGACUCGGUUCCGGCCGGGAAGUUCGAACCGAGGUCUGCGAGCUUCAAGCCCUAAGAAGCCGGCGGCAGUUUGGGCUCCUGCGCAGUAGCCGCUGCUCAGCGUCGCUGUGCAAUCGAGUCCUAUUUGAAAGCCGUGGUUGACCGAUGAAUGAAGUUGUCAUGUGUCGAAGGGAACAAGACUGUAUCUCUAAGAUAAUUGCGGCCUUUGGGAAAUACAAAAGAAGAGCCGGAGAGCAGAGACGCGAGCUGAAGUGAGCAGCACUCCAGCUGCACGGUCACGCACAUUUGCACAACCUGCAGGAGACAUUUCCUGAGAGGGCAGCAGCUCUCCCUCAGUCCAUCCUUAGAGCUAUCUUGCCAAGAGAACCUCUGCUGCCAGAGGAAAUCCAGGAGCUUCUGCCUUUUUAUCAGAGGUUUGCAUGCUGCCAGGAGAGAAGAGAAACCAUCGCACUCUGAUGCUAAGAUUGAGAAAUGUGCUUCUCAAUGGAACUUACAAUUUUCUGGAAACUGUGUCAAAAGAUAUGCAUCUUAGGCACAUCAUGUAGUUUUGGUGUGUGUUUCUGUGAAGAGUGGAGGUGGUGGACAAGAAGAAUGGAGGUGUUGGUGGAGAUUUAGCACAACUCGUGAAGUGUCCACGGGAAGCUGCACGGUCGGGGCAGUGGUGUGCGGAUGAAAAUUAAAACCCAGAUUUACUUGACAGCAAAUACGGAAACAGUCAGUCAGGAGCUGAAGAAGGAAGCAAGAGGCCCGGAAGUAAAGAAUGUCUGUGAGAGGGAAUUCUGGGACCCUCUGACUUGAGGGUAGAAGAACGUAACUAGCAAGACAGGAAGAAACUGGGGAGAUAUCUCUGUGGUGAAAAAUACAUAGGUGUGUAUUGUUUGAUGAAUCACACCGUCAUUCAACAAUUUUCUGAUAUAAAGCAUUAUGGACCAGAUGCCUUAUGGACAAGGACUAACCUGUGGCCCAAAGACUUCAGACCACAGUCCAGGAGAGGAGCAUCCAGAGUUGCAGGGAGGGAUGCUUGUGUGUGAAACAGUUCAAAGUGGUAGUCAAAUGGGGCUUUAGUACAGAAGAAGAUGGGUUGUCACUCUGCAAACCAGGAGAGAAGGGAUGAUGCACAAGAGGG